UAGGGAAUCUUCGGCAAUGGGGGGCAACCCUGACCGAGCAACGCCGCGUGAGUGAAGAGGGUUUUCGGAUCGUAAAGCUCUGUUGUAAGAGAAGAACGUGUGUGAGAGUGGAAAGUUCACACAGUGACGGUAACUUACCAGAAAGGGACGGCUAACUACGUGCCUG
rnacentral:rRNA from 1 species